CCUACGGGAGGCAGCAGUCGAGAGGCUUCGGCAAUGGGGGAAACCCUGACCGAGCGACGCCGCGUGAGGGAUGAAGGCCCUUGGGUUGUAACCCUCUUUUGUUCGGGAAGAAAUGCGACCAGGUGAAUAAUCUGGUCGUUUGACGGUACCGGACGAAUAAGCUCCGGCUAACUCCGUGCCAGCAGCCGCGGUAAU
rnacentral:rRNA from 1 species